rnacentral:rRNA from 1 species
GAUGAACGCUGGCGGCGUGCCUAAUACAUGCAAGUCGAGCGAACGGACGAGAAGCUUGCUUCUCUGAUGUUAGCGGCGGACGGGUGAGUAACACGUGGAUAACCUACCUAUAAGACUGGGAUAACUUCGGGAAACCGGAGCUAAUACCGGAUAAUAUUUUGAACCGCAUGGUUCAAAAGUGAAAGACGGUCUUGCUGUCACUUAUAGAUGGAUCCGCGCUGCAUUAGCUAGUUGGUAAGGUAACGGCUUACCAAGGCAACGAUGCAUAGCCGACCUGAGAGGGUGAUCGGCCACACUGGAACUGAGACACGGUCCAGACUCCUACGGGAGGCAGCAGUAGGGAAUCUUCCGCAAUGGGCGAAAGCCUGACGGAGCAACGCCGCGUGAGUGAUGAAGGUCUUCGGACCGUAAAACUCUGUUAUUAGGGAAGAACAUAUGUGUAAGUAACUGUGCACAUCUUGACGGUACCUAAUCAGAAAGCCACGGCUAACUACGU